rnacentral:rRNA from 1 species
AUUGAACGCUGGCGGCAGGCCUAACACAUGCAAGUCGAGCGGAUGAAGGGAGCUUGCUCCUGGAUUCAGCGGCGGACGGGUGAGUAAUGCCUAGGAAUCUGCCUGGUAGUGGGGGAUAACGUCCGGAAACGGGCGCUAAUACCGCAUACGUCCUGAGGGAGAAAGUGGGGGAUCUUCGGACCUCACGCUAUCAGAUGAGCCUAGGUCGGAUUAGCUAGUUGGUGGGGUAAAGGCCUACCAAGGCGACGAUCCGUAACUGGUCUGAGAGGAUGAUCAGUCACACUGGAACUGAGACAAGGUCCAGACUCCUACGGGAGGCAGCAGUGGGGAAUAUUGGACAGUGGGCGGAAGCCUGAUCCAGCCAUGCGGCGUGUGUGAAGACGGUCUUCGGAUUGUAAAGCACUUUAAGUUGGGAGGAAGGGCAGUAAGUUAAUACCUUGCUGUUUUGACGUUACCUGCAGAAUAAGCACCGGCUAACUUCGUG